rnacentral:rRNA from 1 species
AGCGUACACGGUGGAUGCCCUGGCAGUCAGAGGCGAUGAAGGACGUGCUAAUCUGCGAUAAGCGCCGGUAAGGUGAUAUGAACCGUUAUAACCGGCGAUUUCCGAAUGGGGAAACCCAGUGUGAUUCGUCACACUAUCAUUAACUGAAUCCAUAGGUUAAUGAGGCGAACCGGGGGAACUGAAACAUCUAAGUACCCCGAGGAAAAGAAAUCAACCGAGAUUCCCCCAGUAGCGGCGAGCGAACGGGGAGGAGCCCAGAGCCUGAAUCAGCAUGUGUGUUAGUGGAAGCGUCUGGAAAGGUGCGCGAUACAGGGUGACAGCCCCGUACACAAAAGCGCAUGUGCUGUGAGCUCGAUGAGUAGGGCGGGACACGUGGUAUCCUGUCUGAAUAUGGGGGGACCAUCCUCCAAGGCUAAAUACUCCUGACUGACCGAUAGUGAACCAGUACCGUGAGGGAAAGGCGAAAAGAACCCCGGCGAGGGGAGUGAAAAAGAACCUGAAACCGUGUACGUACAAGCAGUGGGAGCACAGGUUUACCUGUGUGACUGCGUACCUUUUGUAUAAUGGGUCAGCGACUUAUAUUCUGUAGCAAGGUUAACCGAAUAGGGGAGCCGGAGGGAAACCGAGUCUUAAUUGGGCGUUAAGUUGCAGGGUAUAGACCCGAAACCCGGUGAUCUAGCCAUGGGCAGGUUGAAGGUUGGGUAACACUAACUGGAGGACCGAACCGACUAAUGUUGAAAAAUUAGCGGAUGACCUGUGGCUGGGGGUGAAAGGCCAAUCAAACCGGGAGAUAGCUGGUUCUCCCCGAAAGCUAUUUAGGUAGCGCCUCGUGAAUUCAUCUCCGGGGGUAGAGCACUGUUUCGGCUAGGGGGCCAUCCCGGCUUACCAACCCGAUGCAAACUGCGAAUACCGGAGAAUGUUAUCACGGGAGACACACGGCGGGUGCUAACGUCCGUCGUGAAGAGGGAAACAACCCAGACCGCCAGCUAAGGUCCCAAAGUCAUGGUUAAGUGGGAAACGAUGUGGGAAGGCCCAGACAGCCAGGAUGUUGGCUUAGAAGCAGCCAUCAUUUAAAGAAAGCGUAAUAGCUCACUGGUCGAGUCGGCCUGCGCGGAAGAUGUAACGGGGCUAAACCAUGCACCGAAGCUGCGGCAGCGAACGUAUCACCCAAGACAACUUUACGGAGUUGACGAUUGACGGAGCGAAGCGACGUCAAAGCGUUCAUUAAAGUCGAGUUGGCUUAGGGAUACGUUCGUUGGGUAGGGGAGCGUUCUGUAAGCCUGUGAAGGUGUGUCGUGAGGAAUGCUGGAGGUAUCAGAAGUGCGAAUGCUGACAUAAGUAACGAUAAAGCGGGUGAAAAGCCCGCUCGCCGGAAGACCAAGGGUUCCUGUCCAACGUUAAUCGGGGCAGGGUGAGUCGACCCCUAAGGCGAGGCCGAAAGGCGUAGUCGAUGGGAAACGGGUUAAUAUUCCCGUACUUGGUGUUACUGCGAAGGGGGGACGGAGAAGGCUAUGUUGGCCGGGCGACGGUUGUCCCGGUUUAAGCGUGUAGGUGUGUGUUCCAGGUAAAUCCGGUUCACUUUAACACUGAGGCGUGACGACGAGGCACUACGGUGCUGAAGCAACAAAUGCCCUGCUUCCAGGAAAAGCCUCUAAGCAUCAGGUAACACGAAAUCGUACCCCAAACCGACACAGGUGGUCAGGUAGAGAAUACCAAGGCGCUUGAGAGAACUCGGGUGAAGGAACUAGGCAAAAUGGUGCCGUAACUUCGGGAGAAGGCACGCUGACACGUAGGUGAAGUGAUUUACUCAUGGAGCUGAAGUCAGUCGAAGAUACCAGCUGGCUGCAACUGUUUAUUAAAAACACAGCACUGUGCAAACACGAAAGUGGACGUAUACGGUGUGACGCCUGCCCGGUGCCGGAAGGUUAAUUGAUGGGGUCAGCGCAAGCGAAGCUCCUGAUCGAAGCCCCGGUAAACGGCGGCCGUAACUAUAACGGUCCUAAGGUAGCGAAAUUCCUUGUCGGGUAAGUUCCGACCUGCACGAAUGGCGUAAUGAUGGCCAGGCUGUCUCCACCCGAGACUCAGUGAAAUUGAACUCGCUGUGAAGAUGCAGUGUACCCGCGGCAAGACGGAAAGACCCCGUGAACCUUUACUAUAGCUUGACACUGAACAUUGAGCCUUGAUGUGUAGGAUAGGUGGGAGGCUUUGAAGUGUGGACGCCAGUCUGCAUGGAGCCGACCUUGAAAUACCACCCUUUAAUGUUUGAUGUUCUAACGUGGACCCGUAAUCCGGGUUGCGGACAGUGUCUGGUGGGUAGUUUGACUGGGGCGGUCUCCUCCUAAAGAGUAACGGAGGAGCACGAAGGUUGGCUAAUCCUGGUCGGACAUCAGGAGGUUAGUGCAAUGGCAUAAGCCAGCUUGACUGCGAGCGUGACGGCGCGAGCAGGUGCGAAAGCAGGUCAUAGUGAUCCGGUGGUUCUGAAUGGAAGGGCCAUCGCUCAACGGAUAAAAGGUACUCCGGGGAUAACAGGCUGAUACCGCCCAAGAGUUCAUAUCGACGGCGGUGUUUGGCACCUCGAUGUCGGCUCAUCACAUCCUGGGGCUGAAGUAGGUCCCAAGGGUAUGGCUGUUCGCCAUUUAAAGUGGUACGCGAGCUGGGUUUAGAACGUCGUGAGACAGUUCGGUCCCUAUCUGCCGUGGGCGCUGGAGAACUGAGGGGGGCUGCUCCUAGUACGAGAGGACCGGAGUGGACGCAUCACUGGUGUUCGGGUUGUCAUGCCAAUGGCACUGCCCGGUAGCUAAAUGCGGAAGAGAUAAGUGCUGAAAGCAUCUAAGCACGAAACUUGCCCCGAGAUGAGUUCU